UGUGCAGCAGGCAAGAAGGCCGGUCUGGAUGCAGCCUGGAAGCUGGUGGAUGUUGUGGAUUGUCCAAGAGAUGGGAGUGGGUUUUGGCUGAGGAAUUGUUGGAGGAUCCUGAUGGACUUUCUGUGUGUGCUGGGCAAUCUGUUCCCUGUGUCUGUACAGUUGGGGUUUUACAGAAGCUGCAUCCUGUAGAGUGUAGUUGAGUUACAUAUGAAUGAUCCCUGCUGCUGGGCCUGAGAGGUUCGUGUCUGUCCAAAAGAGCCUUUCCCUCUUGUUGCACUCCCUGAUGCUUCCAAGAGCUUUGGUGAUGCUGAAUUGUACCUGCAAAUAGGUUUAGAGCACUCCAGCAAGGCUUUUGCUGGGCUAAUGUUGUCAAUGCUUGUUUGUGUUCCCUCAGCCUUGAUGCUGCUCCUGUCUGCACGUGAUCCUCCAGAGCAAGACCAGAGGCAAUCCAGGGAAGACUGCUGGGAUGAAUACCUUCCAUCCUCUCCCUAUGUACCAGAAAUGGGAUCGUCUGACAGUGAUUUCCUCUUGUUAAAGGCAGUUUCCAUCACUGUGCCAUAGAUGUGCAAGGCUGGGUGAGCACCAGACCGGUGUGCUGGGAUAGCCCGGAGGACGCGCUCUCUCUUGUGCUCCAGCACAGGAGGAGCCGUGGGAAGCCUGAAGAAAUCUGGGAUUAGAGCUCGGAGCAAAACUUCCUUCCCAGCAGCUUUUCCCUGCAGAAAGAGGAGGCUUUUGGCAAGAGACCCUGACGUGUGAUGCAUCAGUGCAGUGCUAAAGAAAAGGGGGAAAAGACGCUACGUUAUUCCCCCCUCCUUCCCUCUGCCUCUUCCCAGCAAAUUGGGAAUCUAUGGAAUUGUGAUCAUAUGGGGUGAAAACUAAUAAAAGGAUUAAUAAAGUGAGAUGAUAUUCUGACUGGGCAGCUGUUUUGUUGGCACUGGUUUCAUGUGUGUGUGUUGGAAUUGGGAUGGGGGGAAUAACGUAGCAUCUGGGCUGGUGUAAUGACAGUAAAGCAGGCAAGGAUGGCCCAAUGAGAUGGGAUUUAGAGCAGCUCCAUAGACUGGACAUGGAAAUAACACCAUGUUCCAGAGAGUGAAUGGGAGAGCGGUGGCACUGCCUGAC
rnacentral:lncRNA from 1 species